rnacentral:rRNA from 1 species
AUUGAACGCUGGCGGCAGGCCUAACACAUGCAAGUCGAACGAGUGGCGGACGGGUGAGUAAUGUCUGGGAAACUGCCUGAUGGAGGGGGAUAACUACUGGAAACGGUAGCUAAUACCGCAUACCAUCGGAUGUGCCCAGAUGGGAUUAGCUAGUAGGUGGGGUAAAGGCUCACCUAGGCGACGAUCCCUAGCUGGUCUGAGAGGAUGACCAGCCACACUGGAACUUUGACAGGGUGCAGACGCCUAGGGGAAGCAGCAGUGGGGAAUAGUGCGCAAUGGGCGCAAGCCUGAUGCAGACAUGCGGAAGGUAUGAAGAAGGCCGUCGGGUUGUAGAGUACUUUCAGCGGGGAGUCGUAACCCGAAGAAGAAGCACCGGCUAACUCGGUGCAAGCAGCGCGGUAAUUC